AGAAGCCUCCACAAGGAUUAGCUACUUUCACCAUGUUUAUAGCCACAGUGUAGAUCCUAACCUGCCUAUCCAUACUGCUUUGGUGACAAAAUAGGCCAGGCAAGAGUAUGUAAGGACUUGGCAAGAGUCAGGAAAAACCCUCACCUAUUGGAAAAACAAUUAAAAGCUUAUAAUGUUGUCAAACUUGAAGAAUUUGGAUAUGUAACACUUGUUUAUUUUUUAAGUAUUUUUUAAUAUUUAAAAAAAGGGCAGUGGGAAAGGCUGUAGUCAUUAUCACUGAAACUACUGAUUGCUAUUUUGAAAAAAAAUAGCUAUCAUUGACUAUAUGAGGGCAAAUAUGCUAAAUAACAUAUAUGUGCUCACCUAUUUUCACAGCUCUCCUCUUAGGUAGAUGGUAUCCUCAUUUUACAGCUGAAGAAACAAGUUUAGCCAAGUGAAGUAACUUGUCCACAGUCCCCCAGCAAGUAAGUCACAGGGACUCAAGUCUUUAACUCCAAAUCUCACCCUCUCAUGCUGUCACUCAAUAUACUAGUAGGGUUCAACCUGAGUACUCUUUCUCAUGAGAUGGACAAUCUACUAAGUCAUAGGAACAAAAUAACUUAAAUCUCUUUAAUAACCUUUUUUUUUUGUUUCAUUAACCUAAAU
rnacentral:lncRNA from 10 species